GCGACAAUGGGUUAGCAGCUCAUCAGAGAAAGCGUACAAGAGCUAGACGGCAUGAUCCAAAAAAACAGAAACACAAAGGGCACUCCAAAUGUUCCUGGAUACACUGGCAAGGUUCAUUGGUCAGCAACUCACCCAGCAAAUUCUAAUCUUCCAUCAACAGCCCCAACAGUAAUUGCCGGAAUGCAUGGAGGCCCAUGAAUGUAAAAGUUAUCAAUUCCCAAAAGAAAACUGAAUGGAGUUUCUCAAUUGAUCUUGGCAGACUUAAGAAACAGGUAUUUGUUAUGAAAAAAUGGUUGUUGAAAAUGGGUGGGUUCACUUAAAAGGAAGUGAGAAGCAAAGUCAUACCAUGCCACCACACUGAUGUAGCCUGGGACCCUGUGAUUGUGAAAUCAUCACAGCUCCCCAUCACUAUCAUGGCUGCCCCAUUAAGUGAAUAAAUAAUCUUUAUUCUCUCAAUGCUCUUCCAUAAAAGGCUGGUUAAACCUGUGGGCCAAUAUACGUAUUUAGAUGUCUAACUUGUUGAUUUCAAAAGAUCUGCACACUUCAGAAGAUCUGGACACUGAAAAAUCCUUUUUCUUUUGUUAGCAUGAAAAGCUUCAGAUGCUGGCAGAGAACUAACUUAGCCUUUCUUCCUAAUAGCUUAGUAACUUUGUUUCUCCUCUCUCCUUUAUGAUUUUGUGCUUUAGAUUCUGCUUUCUUGUUAUCUGUAGUGAUCUAGGAUAUGGUGACACUUUUCCAAGUUUCCAUGUUUUCCUGAGAAAUUUAUCUUCUAAUUAAACUUUUAAUUUGUCUUAGGAUUCUGUUCACAGCACGCACUUUUUUCAGCACUGUCAGUGAAAAGUAUCCAGAAAAGGCUCGAGGAGAUUUAUGGAGCUGCGUGGCUUUUAAAGAGUUCACCUCGUCAAGAGUUUCACCAUUUUGAUGAAUAACCUAACUUAUUGUUAUGCUGCCCUCCAUGCAGUCACCUCUGCUCUUUUUCUCUAGUGGUUAUACCUGGAAAAUAGGCAGUCACCUGUAGGUUUGGGCUGCUGUUGACAGGGAAUGGAAUGAUGCAACAAAGUCCUGAGUCUCCAUAACAUGAUAAAGCUGAACUCAAAGCAGUCUUAUGCUUGUAAAUGUCACAAACAAAUAAAAAAGGCAAAUGAAUCUUAGCAAAGAACAUUGAGAGACUUCAUUUAGGUACCAGAAUUCAAGAGCAAAAAUGAUAGGCACCACUGUGAUCUGAAGAAAACACAUCAGUUACUUCCUUUUACUUUACACAGACGUUACUGUGGGUGUAGUUCACAUUGGAGGAAUUUUCUUGAUUUUUAAUGUAUGGCAAGAACAGGGUUCUCAUUCUGUGCUAGUGGAUACUUUCCAGAAUCAGGACAGAAUCUCCUGACCUUUUUGAAGUAGGUUGUGUAGGAAUAAACUAGAGAGCAUAAUCACAUCCAGAGAUUGCAGAGCAGGUUUUGCCAACCUUAGCCUGAGCAAAUGUACCUAUAUGGUACAUUUCCCUGAGGAGAUAUUAUCCCUGAUAGCAAAAUUGUAAUAGCUGUAUGGUCCUACUUGUGGAGUAGGAGCAUAGUCCGUAGUGUUUACUGAGCAAAGAUGGAACAUUCUGGUCCUUCAUGAAACUGCUAUAUAGAACUAUGAUGGAUGCUGAGAAUCUCCCCUCAAUAUUAGUUACUGAUGCCCAUAAAAGAGAGAUGCUUAACAUUAGUUUCCUUCCCUUUAUAAAAUAAAUUAUAAUAAUACCUGCUGAUUUCAGGAGUCACAGGUCAAGCUAGUCUAUAGUGGAGAGGUGAAGAGAAGAGAGAUUAUUCCCAUAAUUUGGGGUCAGACAAUUUGCUUCCAUGAACUUUUGAUCUUGGAUGUGAUCUCAUCCUUUUAAAAUGGUGGCCUUUCUCACCCUUUUUAAAAUGGUGGCACCUUUCUUUGUCUCUUUGCUCAUUCUCAAGCAUGAUUGUAAUAAUUUCUCAGAAAGUAUCAAGUGAUUGCAUGUGGUGGAUGUUUUAAAACUGCUGUCUACAACCUAUGGUCAGUGUCCUGAAGACAACUAUAGGUAUCAAAUGGAGUCUCUUGUGUACUGCUAACCUGCUUUAGUAAGUAUUCCUGUCAAAAGUAUCAGCACUAUCAGACAGACCAGGCAGCAUGCAACCAUUUCUGCAUGGAGUUUCUAUUGCACGGUGCUCCCACAGGAUGUGCUGCAAAAUCCUGCAUACCAGUGUCAAGCGUUCUGAAGUCAACAGGAUUGUAUAGGAUGUGAAACAGUAGAAAUAUGGUUUUCUCAUCUUUGAAUAUGAAUAGUGUUUUUAUAUGUCAAGCUUUAUUGAUGUAUUUUUAAUCUAUUUUUAUUUCCAGGCAAUCCCAAGGCGAAGACAGAAAAUUAUGUUUUAAAGUCCCCUUAGUGCAAUUAAAUUCUGGCAGAUUUGUUUAACUUUUGCAUAGGAAGGAAUGCUUUAUGUGUUGUUUUUUCUUGUGUCCAUUGCUACCUGGAAAAUACAAAUCCAAUUGCAUCUCAGGUUGCACGGAAAACCAUUGGUUUCACCAUAAUUAAUGUAAGAUAGUGUUGGAUUUUGUUUGAUUAUUGAGAGGAUUGAGAAGCAGCUUUAAGCAAGUUGCUUUGAAGAUUUCAAAAGUUAUCUCCAGGUCAAAACCAUGGUUUUUUAUGUGGAGAGUGAGUGAACAUAAAUGCUUGUGGUCAGUUCUGUGUCAGCCACGAGAACUGGGCAUCUAAAGCAGAUGUGACAGUGCCAACAAAGCAUUUUUAGAAGACUUGAAAGCCAAAUCUCCAGCAUGACCUUCAGGUACCACAGGGCCUUUUGUGCUUGAGGGCAUUUGGCAUGGUCAUGGCAGGUCUGCACGUGUACUGUGCAGGUUAGUUGUAAAACAACUGUGUGUGUGAGCGUCUGUGUCUCUGUGUGUGUCUGGUCUGUGUCUCUGUAUUCAAGAAAGGCUGGAGAAGCUCUUCAGGAAGAUUAACCACCAUUGAUCUUUAGGGGGCUGAUUCUAAUCCUGUGGAAUAUUGCAAAUUAUUAAUAUUCUCUGUGGCCAAUGGGCAUAAAUGUUUGUGAAGAAAGCAGUGAGAGGGAAAAAGAGACAAUGCUUAGGAAUAUAAGAGCAUGUUUUAAAAUUCCAUUUUUCUCUGUCUUUAUGCAACUGCAGGUACAUUGCAAGACAUGGAAGUUGACUCAGUAGAAGAACCUAGGACAUUUUUCUCAACUUCAGUUGGUCCUCAGAUUUCUUUCAAAGCAGAAUAAAAAACUAUUACAAUUUAGAGAAUGCCAGUCCUUUUUACCCAGAUAAGUGAGAGCCUCAGUGUCUGACCGUGAGGAGGAAGGAAAUGUAUGAAGAUGUGCAGAUACUUUAAAUACAGAACAAAAAUAAAAUAAUACAGAAGUGGAUGUU